rnacentral:lncRNA from 1 species
CACCUUCACCCCUUUCGGAUUGCUCCUGAUUAUGAGCAACCACUGGAGGUGAAGAACAACAGUAAUCUGCAGAGAAUGGGCUCCUCCGAGUCAACAGAUUCAGGUUUCUGUCUAGAUUCUCCUGGGCCAUUGGACAGUAAAGAAAACCUUGAAAAUCCUAUGAGAAGAAUACAUUCCCUACCUCAGAAGCUGUUGGGAUGUAGUCCAGCUCUGAAGAGGAGCCAUUCUGAU